GAGUUUGAUCCUGGCUCAGGAUGAACGCUGGCGGCGUGCCUAACACAUGCAAGUCGAACGGGAAUAGGAUGAAACCUAGUGAUUCCUAUUCCAGUGGCGGACGGGUGAGUAACGCGUGGGUAACCUGCCUUGCACUGGGGGAUAACACUUAGAAAUAGGUGCUAAUACAGCAUAAGCGCACAGAACCGCAUGGUUCGGUGUGAAAAACUCCGGUGGUGUAAGAUGGACCCGCGUCUGAUUAGCUGGUUGGUGAGGUAACGGCUCACCAAGGCGACGAUCAGUAGCCGGCCUGAGAGGGUGAACGGCCACAUUGGGACUGAGGCACGGCCCAAACUCCUACGGGAGGCAGCAGUGGGGAAUAUUGCACAAUGGGGGAAACCCUGAUGCAGCAACGCCGCGUGAGUGAAGAAGUCAUGCAUGAUGUAAAGCUCUAUCAGCAGGGA
rnacentral:rRNA from 1 species